rnacentral:lncRNA from 1 species
UAUGUAAAACCCCAAAUCCUUAAAUUUAUAUAUAUUAAACUUUACACAAAAAUCUAAGGUGCCACCACCGACAAAAUCUUUAAUAAAUAAAAAAUUUAACAAACCUGCAGCCAAAAUAUUAACAUCAUACAAUAUUUGUCAUCGCACGCUCAUCUUCAAUUAGGGUAUCAUUUCAGCGGUAUCGAUUUAAUUCAAAUAAAAAAAAUAAUAGAUAGUUUGCAUAAAAAAAAAAAUUAACUAACGGUGGAUUGUGAUGUGAACUCACCGAUGAUUGUUU